CUUAUCUGGAAUCAUGGUUUGAAGGAAUGCGAUUCCCAUGGUUCAUAUUCCUUGUGGGGUUGCAUUCUAAUGUUUUGUAUUACCUCAAUAUGUUUUAGCAAGGUGAUGUUGGAUUGUGGUAAACUAAAUAGAUGCCAUUAAUUACAGUUGGUUCGUAGAUCAUAUUUUAACUUUUUCCUACUCAAUUUUUCUCUUCCUGGCUAAGUAUUCAAAUGUUCAUGCACUUACAUAUUCCAUUAUAAUCAAGUCUCACAAAUAUUUCCAGUAUGUUUACCAGAAAUUUAUGCUUAAGUAAAUUCAUAAGCAGGUAUCACAUCGUCUUGCACAAAAUAGGGAAGCCGCACGAAAAGGCCGUUGGCAAGAAAUGUACUUUCAUGCAAAUUCGAGCUCCUUCAGCCUAUAAUCUGUCUGCAAAUUUAUGUUCAACGACUAGAAACUAGUCACAUAAAAGUGGCUCAAAGUGAGCAUGAGCUUGAGCGGGGUGUAGAUGCUGGUGGUCAUGCAGGGGAUUCAAGUCUUGGUUUGUUAGAUCUGGUAAUUUAGCUACUAAGUACACAGUCAUCAUUUUGUCCGGAAAUAUGAUCCCUGAUUUCGGUCUGCACAACUCGGAGAUCAAACCACAAGUUCACAAGAUAGCAAUCAAAACAAGCAAGAAGAAAGACCGCCGAGAUUUACAUGGUUCAGUCGACCAAGUUCGACCUACAUCAACGGGACAACAAUACGAGGAAUCCACUAUGGAAUAUGCAUUUGGGUCUUUAUGGUAUCUAAUAAACAAUUCACUUUGCUCAGGUAGAACCUUUGACAGAGCAGCUUCUGGUUGCUGUCUACAGCUUCGGACAGUCCUCUCAACAAGCUGAAGAUGCUUAUUCCCGGGGCAUGGAGAAACUUCAACAAAUACUUGUCCAGAGUCUACAUCUGAGCCCUUGGGAGCUUCUGGUGUGGCAAAUUAAAUAGGACAUAUGACUAAUGCCAUGUGGGAAGAUGGAAGCUUUAGUUUGUUACUCGGGCAGACAAUCAUUGGCAGCAAACCCUGCAGCAAAUGUACAAAGUUUUAACAAUGCGACGAGUAGCAAGAGGUCUUGUUGCCUUGGGAGAAUAUUGCUAACAUCUUCGUGCCCUUGACUUGAUAUGGGCUGCUCAUCCUAGAGAGCCAACCUAAACAUUGUUUAGCAAGGGCAUGUACGUAUUCUAUUAUGUAUCUCUUACUCUAUUUAAAAAAAGUCUUCUUUUGGUUCGGUUU